AAGACCUUGCGCUUUUGGAGCGGCCGAUGUCUGAUUAGCUUGUUGGUGAGGUAAAGGCUUACCAAGGCUUCGAUCAGUAGCUGGCCUGAGAGGACGGCCAGCCACACUGGGACUGAGACACGGCCCAGACUCCUACGGGAGGCAGCAGUGGGGAAUUUUGGACAAUGGGGGCAACCCUGAUCCAGCCAUGCCGCGUGAGUGAAGAAGGCCUUCGGGUUGUAAAGCUCUUUCAGCCGGAACGAAACGGUUACGGUUAAUACCCGUGACUACUGACGGUACCGGAAGAAGAAGCACCGGCUAACUACGUGCCAGCAGCCGCGGUAAUACGUAGGGUGCAAGCGUUAAUCGGAAUUACUGGGCGUAAAGCGUGCGCAGGUGGUUUUGUAAGUCAGACGUGAAAUCCCCGGGCUUAACCUGGGAACU
rnacentral:rRNA from 1 species